AUACGCUUUUUUCUCUUUUUCUCUACUUUUUCGCAUUCCAAGGUCUGCACUCUUUUCCUCACAGGGGUACUCCUACCAGGAGGUGAGGUUUUUAACGAGGCAGAACCUAUGUAAAAACCUCUGAAAUAUAAAGAGGAAUCCACCCCAGAACCAAAGCCCAAAAAGUCGAAAAACAGCCAGCAACGAGGCUGUAGCAUUCGACAAAACAUCACGUGAUCACAAGGACCCUCCGCAGCUUUCAUCCAACAGCUCAGAAAGCUCGGAACGUCCUCAAAGGUGAAAAAAAAAAAUCCUUAGCAAAAGACCUAGCCAAGAGCCGGGCAGCAAGGAUAACACGGCCAAAAAGUGAAAAAGUCCUGUCCUUCUCAGGCAUCACAACAUGGCCAGAAGGAGCAAAACCUUCAAACCUGACAAAGACCUGAGGAGAAUCAGGCAUCAGGAACCAUAUUAUUUUCGCCAAAAGGCAGCGGAGGUUUAACAUUCACAGGACAGACCCCAACGAAAUUCACAUAACCUUCACCAAAAUAAGGUCGAAGGUAUCCUGCUACUCUAAGCAGACCCCCAACAAACAAAGUGUGAAAUUAAAACGAAACUACAAUAACCCUCGGUCAGAUACAGCAAAACCAACUACCACAACAACCAUCAAUAGCCCGAUAAUAAAUUUUGACCUAACGGAGUACAUAAAAUAAAUGCAUGAAAGCCUAUAAAACCAGGCUCACCCUCCCACCACCCUCAAUCAGGAUCAGCAUACAAAGACCCGAGCAUCGAGUGCAAACCUAGCAGUCAAAAAGCAAAAUCCUAGGCCACCAUGGAAGCAGGGGUUAGCCUCACAACACCAGCAAAAGUUUGUAUCGCACGAAGCUUCGUAAUACUAGAACUACGGCGUUGUGAUGAACAUCGACCACAAAGUCGUGUACAGCCACAACAGAAACAAUGGAAGUCAGACUCAGAGGUCUCUGAAGGGUAUCGCACGAAGUCUCGUAACAUCCCUUCAGAACCUCCGACUUAGACAGCCGAAGGUUCUCCUCGACAACACUCCACGGGAGUCAAGCAAAGGGAAAAAAUAGCACAAUUCAGCGAAGGAUCCUUCGCGCCAAAAAAGUCGAAGGUUCUAAGGCCAAGAAGCAGCGAUCCUCCGCGCAAGAAAAAAUCAACAACUCCUUCGCAACAUCAAGCAUCAAGAACAAGCAAGCCACAGCAACACAAAGAUCCUUAGGAUCAACACCACCGUGACGUUGCAAUAUACAAAUGCUGUAGCGCGAAGGUUGUAAUAAAACUGAGAUCGAAGGUUGUAGCAAACUUUAAAACUUUAUUAUCGAUGAAUAAAUCAUUACAAAAGUUCGUUUACAAAAAAUGAACAAAAUCAUCCUUCGACCCAUAAAAAGUCGAAGGUUACAGGUAGCUUGUACAAGUUCAACUUACAAAUCCUCCUUCAACUAAACAACCGAAGGAUCUAUGAGUCACGUACAAAUUAUAGCGCGAAGGUUGUCAAAAUUAAAAGGUGCGAAGACCAUGUAGUAAAAAUGUCUGAUCUUUAUUAACCGUAUACAAUGUACAUAACACAAGCUUACAACAAAAAAUGAAAAACAUCCUCCGACCAUAAAACUCCGAAGGUUCUAAGACCCUCGCACAAUUCUAACAUACGAAUCUGGAAAAAGCCUAAGAUCAUCACAGUAAUCACGUACAAGGAAAUCAACUAAGUCAUCUAUACUACGCGUAGGAUACUUGUGGCGCCACCAGUCAAUUAGAUAACCCCUCGCAUACAAAUCUCCACGCUUGAACGUCACCGGGGUAACAUAACUCCCUUCGACAAAGUUCGAAGGAAGAUCUCCCAACGGAGAAGAAUUGACAACCUGCGCGCAAAAAAUAAUAACUUCAAAUCCAACAGAAACGAAGGAUAAAACUAAAAAGCCACAGGAAGCUUUCGAACCUCCGGAAAACCUUGAAGAAAAGGCUCAGCAACAUCCUCAGAAGCCUCCGCCACCCAGCGUACCCUAUCUCUCUCACCAAAGAUGCGAAGGAUAGGAUAUGGCAACUACAUAAACACAUCAAAUCAUGUCAUAAAAAAUAUAUAACCAAAACCUACGAUAAACGAAAAGAAAAACAAAAUCAUCCACCUAAGCCGGAGGCCAUGAACCUCGGCGCGCAAGCGACUGGAUAAAUCCAGAUCCUUCGCCAUCAAUAUCAUAUCCAACAAACUCGAACAUAUCCACCAAUCUCAUAUUAGGGAAGGCAACUUGCCAAUACUCCCACAAUUCACCAGAAACAUAAAUCCCUUUGUAAAAAAACGAAAGGGGAGUAAUGAAACGAUCCUGCGCAGGUCCUCCGCCAGAGACCUGCGCAGGAUCAAAUUGUAAAACAAAGGCUUAUCUGAAAACAACUCAAUAUAUUAUAUUUUCAACAGUCUUUACAAAAUAAAACACAACCUCCGACCUUACUUACAAAAAAAAAGCGUCACACACUUGGACGCAAAAAAUACUAAGAAAAACCUAAAAACUAAAAAGCCUCACACCUGAGGCGGAGGAGGAGCAGGAGCCUCGGGCGUCUCUGAAACCUUGGCACCAGAUCCCUCCGGAGCUUUGGCACUAGUAUCACGAGCCUCCGCUUCAGGCUGGGUCGGAGGACACACCUCACUCGGGGGACGCGAAGGUCCGGCCUUGACAACCUUAGCCUUCUUCUUCGCAAUCUCCUACAAAAUACCCAUCUUAAUUAACAUUGCAAAGCAGCGAAGCAAAGUACAAAAAGAAAUAACCAAAUAAUACAAACCUCAGCUCGACGAUCCUCCGCCAUUUUCUUCGCCUCAUCCCGCCCAAACCUAAUCCAGAACGAACUGAUGAAGUUCCGAACAGAUUUGCGCAGGGAAGGGGUCCCUUCGCCAACGUCCUCCGCCGC
rnacentral:lncRNA from 1 species